rnacentral:snRNA from 1 species
GGAUGUGAGGGCGAUCUGGCUGCGACAUCUGUCACCCUAUUGAUCGCCAGGGUUGAUUCGGCUGAUCUGGCUGGCUAGGCGGGUGUCACCUUCCUCCCUCACCGCUCCAUGUGCGUCCCUCCCGAAGCUGCGCGCUCAGUCGAAGAGGACGACCAUCCCUGAUAGAGGAGGACCGUUCUUCGGUCAAGGGUAUACGAGUAGCUGCGCUCCCCUGCUAGAACCUCCAAACAAGCUCUCAAGAGAGACAUAGCUCUUCUCAGUACUGAAAUGAUUGGUUUUAGACUUAUGGAUCUUCACUAGUCCUAAGGUCAGUUUUAGGGGAUGUUGGACAACAUUG